rnacentral:rRNA from 1 species
UACGUAGGUGGCAAGCGUUGUCCGGAAUUAUUGGGCGUAAAGCGCGCGCAGGCGGUCCUUUAAGUCUGAUGUGAAAGCCCACGGCUCAACCGUGGAGGGUCAUUGGAAACUGGGGGACUUGAGUGCAGAAGAGGAAAGCGGAAUUCCACGUGUAGCGGUGAAAUGCGUAGAGAUGUGGAGGAACACCGGUGGCGAAGGCGGCCUGCUGGGCUAUGGCUGACACUGAGACGCGACAGCGUGGGGAGCAAACAGG